rnacentral:rRNA from 1 species
AUUGAACGCUGGCGGCAGGCCUAACACAUGCAAGUCGAGCGGAGCGGCGGACGGGUGAGUAAUGCCUAGGAAUCUGCCUGGUAGUGGGGGAUAACGUCCGGAAACGGGCGCUAAUACCGCAUACUAUCAGAUGAGCCUAGGUCGGAUUAGCUAGUUGGUGGGGGAAAGGCCUACCAAGGCGACGAUCCGUAACUGGUCUGAGAGGAUGAGCAGGCACACUGGAACUGAGACACGGCCCAGACUCAUACGGGAGGCAGAAGUGGGGAAUAUUGGACAAUGGGCGAAAGCCUGAUCCAGCCAUGCCGCGUGUCUGAAGAAGGUCUUCGGAUUGGAAAGCACUUUAAGUUUGGAGGCGUUACCAACAGAAUAAGCACCGGCUAACUCCGUGCCAGCCGCCGCGGUAAUUC